UAAGGUAGCGAAAUUCCUUGUCGGGUAAGUUCCGACCCGCACGAAAGGCGUAAUGAUUUGGAUACUGUCUCAGAGAGGGACUCGGUGAAAUAGACUUGUCUGUGAAGAUGCGGACUACCUGCACCAGGACAGAAAGACCCUAUGAAGCUUUACUGUAACUUGAAAUUGAAAUUGGACUUUAUUUGCGCAGUAUAGGUGGGAGGCGUUGAGUUUAUUCUUGCGGGAAUUUAGGAGCCAUCAGUGAGAUACCACUCUGGUAAUGUUAGAUUUCUAACUUUGUAUCAUAAUCUGGUCAAAGGACAGUUUCAGGCGGGCAGUUUGACUGGGGCGGUCGCCUCCUAAAGCGUAACGGAGGCGCGCGAAGGUUGGCUCAGAGCGGU
rnacentral:rRNA from 1 species